UACGUAGGGCGCAAGCGUUGUCCGGAAUUAUUGGGCGUAAAGAGCUCGUAGGUGGUCUGUUGCGUCCGCUGUGAAAUCCCAGGGCUUAACCCUGGGCUGGCAGUGGAUACGGGCAGACUAGAGGUAGGUAGGGGAGAAUGGAAUUCCCGGUGUAGCGGUGAAAUGCGCAGAUAUCGGGAGGAACACCGGUGGCGAAGGCGGUUCUCUGGGCCUUACCUGACACUGAGGAGCGAAAGCGUGGGGAGCGAACAGG
rnacentral:rRNA from 1 species